AGCGAACGCUGGCGGCAGGCUUAACACAUGCAAGUCGAACGGGCAUAGCAAUAUGUCAGUGGCAGACGGGUGAGUAACGCGUGGGAACGUACCUUUGGGUUCGGAACAACACAGGGAAACUUGUGCUAAUACCGGAUAAGCCCUUACGGGGAAAGAUUUAUCGCCGAAAGAUCGGCCCGCGUCUGAUUAGCUAGGUGGUAGGGUAAUGGCCUACCAAGGCGACGAUCAGUAGCUGGUCUGAGAGGAUGCUCCGCCACAUUGGGACUGAGACACGGCCCAAACUCCUACGGGAGGCAGCAGUGGGGAAUAUUGGACACUGGGCGAAAGCCUGAUCCAGCCAUGCCGCGUGAGUGAUGAAGGCCCUAGGGUUGUAAAGCUCUUUUGUGCGGGAAGAUAAUGACGGUACCGCAAGAAUAAGCCCCGGCUAACUUCGUG
rnacentral:rRNA from 1 species